GAACGCUGGCGGUAUGCUUAACACAUGCAAGUCGAACGGAAACGAUACUAGCUUGCUAGUAGGCGUCGAGUGGCGGACGGGUGAGUAACGCGUAGGAAUCUACCUGAUAGUGGGGGAUAGCCCGAAGAAAUUCGGAUUAAUACCGCAUAAUCUAUUCGUAGUAAAGUGGGGGACUUUCGAGCCUCACGCUAUCAGAUGAGCCUGCGUAAGAUUAGCUAGUUGGUAGGGUAAAAGCCUACCAAGGCGACGAUCUUUAGCUGGUCUGAGAGGAUGAUCAGCCACAUCGGGACUGAGACACGGCCCGAACUCCUACGGGAGGCAGCAGUGGGGAAUAUUGGACAAUGGGGGCAACCCUGAUCCAGCAAUGCCGCGUGAGUGAAGAAGGCCUUAGGGUUGUAAAACUCUUUCAACUGUGAAGAUGAUGACGGUAGCAGUAGAAGAAGCUCCGGCUAACUCCGUGCCAGCAGCCGCGGUAAUACGGAGGGAGCUAGCGUUGUUCGGAAUUACUGGGCGUAAAGAGCACGUAGGUGGCGAAGAUAGUCAGUGGUGAAAGGCCUGGGCUCAACCCAGGAACUGCCAUUGAUACUGCUUUGCUAGAGUCCGGGAGAGGAUAGCGGAAUUUCCAGUGUAGAGGUGAAAUUCGUAGAUAUUGGAAAGAACACCAGUUGCGAAAGGCGGCUAUCUGGACCGGUACUGACACUGAGGUGCGAAAGCGUGGGGAGCGAACAGGAUUAGAUACCCUGGUAGUCCACGCCGUAAACGAUGAGUGCUAGUUGUUGGGGUCUUAGACUUCAGUGACGUAGCUAACGCGUUAAGCACUCCGCCUGGGGAGUACGGCCGCAAGGUUAAAACUCAAAGGAAUUGACGGGGGCCCGCACAAGCGGUGGAGCAUGUGGUUUAAUUCGACGCAACGCGCAGAACCUUACCAGCCCUUGACAUACCAAUCGCGAUUUCCAGAGAUGGAUUUCUUCAGUUCGGCUGGAUUGGAUACAGGUGCUGCAUGGCUGUCGUCAGCUCGUGUCGUGAGAUGUUGGGUUAAGUCCCGCAACGAGCGCAACCCUCGCCCUUAGUUACCAUCAUUUAGUUGGGUACUCUAGGGGGACUGCCGGUGACAAGCCGGAGGAAGGUGGGGAUGACGUCAAGUCCUCAUGGCCCUUAUGGGCUGGGCUACACACGUGCUACAAUGGCAAUGACAGUGGGCAGCAACCUCGCGAGAGGAAGCUAAUCUCUAAAAAUUGUCUCAGUUCGGAUUGUUCUCUGCAACUCGAGAGCAUGAAGUCGGAAUCGCUAGUAAUCGCGUAUCAGCAUGACGCGGUGAAUACGUUCCCGGGCCUUGUACACACCGCCC
rnacentral:rRNA from 1 species